GACGAACGCUGGCGGCGUGCUUAACACAUGCAAGUCGAACGGAAAGGCCCUGCUUUUGUGGGGUGCUCGAGUGGCGAACGGGUGAGUAACACGUGAGUAACCUGCCCUUGACUUUGGGAUAACUUCAGGAAACUGGGGCUAAUACCGGAUAGGAGCUCCUGCUGCAUGGUGGGGGUUGGAAAGUUUCGGCGGUUGGGGAUGGACUCGCGGCUUAUCAGCUUGUUGGUGGGGUAGUGGCUUACCAAGGCUUUGACGGGUAGCCGGCCUGAGAGGGUGACCGGCCACAUUGGGACUGAGAUACGGCCCAGACUCCUACGGGAGGCAGCAGUGGGGAAGAUGGCACAAUGGGCGGAAGCCUGAUGCAGCAACGCCGCGUGCGGGAUGACGGCCUUCGGGUUGUAAACCGCUUUCGCCUGUGACGAAGCGUGAGUGACGGUAAUGGGUAAAGAAGCACCGGCUAACUACGUG
rnacentral:rRNA from 1 species